AUGAUCCUGGCUGUGCCCCCUGAGGAGGUCCCGGAGAGCCCAGAGAGGAAGCCAGAUGACCCUCUCUUCUGUAGGUGUGUGCGUAUGUCGCCCCCCACUUCCCCUCUUUGUGUCCACCAGAUGGUGACUCAGCCGUGGAGCCGAACCCCAGGGAGGAGGUUCCUGACCCGACUGGGCUGGUCCAGGACGAGGUGGACGUGCCCCAAGAUACCCCUAAGUCCAACUGGGGGGGGGGGUUCCCCCAAAGAAUUUUUUGGAAGGGUGCAGUUCGGGGCUCCUCCUGAGGGAAGGGUAGGUGGGGAAACGACGGAGCUGGGUUCUCCGGUUGCCGUUACGGAGUGCGGGCCAGGCAUGGGCCUGGGUCCAUCUCCAGAGGGGCGGUGUGCCAUAGAGCCCCCUGGUAGGCAAGAGGACCCAGCUGGGACAGGCAGAAAGAGGGCCUGCUUGUCCCAACGGACACAGAAGGGGCUAGCUGGAUGGUCUGGCGAAACCCCCACCUUGGCAACAGGGACGUGCAGCGAGAGGGGCUGCAUGUGCCCAGAAGCCACCAGACAGGGGUGCCGCAAACGGUCGCCGGAGGUUCCGGGACCACCUCCUUGCGCAGUGCAGGGAGGGAAGCUGGCCACUCUGCCAGCGGGGACGUGCAGCGAGAGGGGCUGUAUGAUCCCAGAAGGCACCAGACAGGUGUGCUGUAUGAGGUUGCCGGAUGCUCCGGAACCACCUCCCUGCGCGGGGCAGGGAACGACGCAAGAGGCGUCAAAAGGGAUGGGCGGAGACAGGGCCCGCACGUACCCGGAAGGAUCGGCCCUGGUUUAUGUGUGCAGGUUGGAGGAACCGGGGCCACCAUGCCAGACCACGUCGGGGAGCCAGCCCGAGGGACCAGGGCCGCCAUGCCGGACCACGUCAGGGAGUCUGCCAGAGGGUCCGGGUCCUCCAAGGGGAGGACACAGCUGGGCAGGAGCCCUGUGGUUGCUGCCGUUCGCCCCGCCGCCUCCACUGAUGGUAUUGCUGGGGCUCCAAGGACGUAGCCCUUGGAGGGGCGACAUUCUUUGUGAACUUUUGUUUAGUGAACAGGCUGAGGUAUAUUAA
ensembl:lncRNA